rnacentral:snRNA from 1 species
AGCUUCAUGCAAUGAUGGUAUUGUAACCAAUGAGGUUUAUCCAAGGAACAAUUAUUGCUAAUUAAAUUGAUUAUUCUUGGAGCUGGGUUCAUUAUACUAUCCUCUAUAUUUUUAUAUAUGGUUAAAGCUU